rnacentral:lncRNA from 1 species
CCCAACCUCCCCUGCUCUGCAACCUCAUCCUUCCCCUGUCUUUCCUGGGUUAAAUUUUACACUUAGUAACACUGAAACCAGGCAGUUUCACACCUCCGAGCCUGCAUCUAUGCUCAUCUCUUUACCUGAAACGUCUUCUCUCACCCCUCCCCCUCUGUCUGGCUAAUUCCUGCUCAUUCUCCAAGACCCAGUUCUCCGUGGUACCCCUUCUCACCCAACACACACCCCUCAAUCUAGCCUUUUCUGUGAGCAACCUACACCACCUUAUGCUGACCUGGUUGGGAGCACAUAUAUAGAAAGUUUGUGUGCCUGCCCCUCCCCAACUCCCCAGUUCCUCAAAAGUAGGGUCUGUGGUGCUAAAUUUUGUCUCUGCAGUCUCUGACAUAUCUAGGAGCUCAACAUAUAUCUGCUAAAUCAAACAGAAUCCAGAUGAACAAGAAUGCCCUCGACAUGUAGAUGUCACAAUUCAACAGCAUUCUAAGGGUUUGCUCGUGCUCAUGGGUAUCUUUAGGACAGGUGGCUUUUAAGGCCUCAAUAUAGAUGUAACACCCUACUCCCCUCGCACAAAAAACAAAAAAACAAAAAAAACUUUAACCCAAAUAAACUGAAAGUGAUUAUUUGCAUCUCAAAAGAUUGGGGGGAGGCAGGUUUUCUUUAAACAUUAAACCUUUGCUGGAACUUUCAGAAACUUUCCUUAUAGAUCAUUAACUUCUGGGGGAGGGUGGGAGCAGAAGCCGUGGAGUCUGAAUUCAGAGGUGCCUCUAUAAAAGAGGAAGCAAGGCAGAAAAUCUUGGAACCAGACAGAGCUGGGUUCAGAUUCUAGCUAUACUAGCUGUGUGGCCUUGGGCAAGCUACUUAACCUCUCUGCAGCUCGAUUUCUUUAUCACUAAAGUGGAGAUACACUAUACCUAUUUUGCAUGGUUGUUGUAAAGAUGCAAAAGAUCCUAUGUGGGGUACCUUAGCUCAUAGGAUGCCCCCAAUAAUAGUAACAGUGUUGCUGCUGUCAGGCUUAACACUGGGCAUGCAGGAGAAGAAGGAGUCUUGAGGGGCUUUUAACUUAGACGGCAGGAAUAAGAAAGCCAGGAAGGGCCAAGCCACUGUGCCAGCACAUUUUCAGUAUCACAGCACUUCAUGAUUUUUUUCACAAAUCUUUUGAUUUUUUUUUAAACUAAAUCUUUCCAUGUUGAACAGGCAGAUGCUGGCGACAGCACUGUGCAGUGUACUGGCAUGAGGGCCUGGACUCUAGGAGGCUGGACUACAGCUUACCCAGCUGUGGAUCCUGGGGCGUUCACUUACACUCAGUGUCUAUAGAAAGGAGACAAUAGGCCAGGCGUGGUGGCUCACACUUGUAAUCCCAGCACUUUGGGAGGCCCAGGCGGGCAGAUCAUGAGGUCAGGAGAUCGAUGCCAUCAAGGCUAACACGGUGAAACCCCAUCUAUACUAAAAAUACAAAAAAUUAGCCAGGCACGGUGGUGGGCAC